rnacentral:lncRNA from 1 species
GAGGAUUAGCUAGGAACAGUCUGGGCUCAUGUUUCCUGAAUCUGAAAGUUGCACAGAAAAGGCCACGCUUAGGUAUAGCGAGUCAAGGCUGUCCUCAUAAUGGAAUGAGAAGCUGUUAGCACAUCAGAGCUUAAAAGUACACGUUCAUCAAAACCUAGAUAGGGAAGGAUCUAAAGACAUCCGCUGGGUUUUCACUGCCAUUGUCCCUGUGAAAAUAUUAGUGUCUUUGGAUGUUGUCGCAGUGUCAGCGGGAUCCUACAGUUCUGAGGUGCCUUUUCUACACCUGAAUGUGAGUUUCAUCAGCGUGCUCUUCCCAGCGCGCUCUCUGACUUCUCCAACUCACGCACACCUGCCGGCCGGGCCCAUCUCAGCUCAGCAACUCCUUUUGCGCAGCCCCCCGUUGGACCUGCUCUUCCACCUCUCGGUCUGUUUCCAGCUAUUCUUUCUCUAAAGUCGCUGCUUCUGUGAAAGUAUUUAGUGCCAGUCUCUAUCUUAUUCUAGUCCCCUUUAUUUGAUUUAUGUCAAAUAUCUCAUUUAUCUCUUCCUCCGGAUGGGAACCAUGUCUUUAAUGCGCUCAUAAACUGCAGUGUAUUCUUAUGGCACUCUGCAAGAAAUAAAUAGCAGAAUUAUUUGUCA